GUCCCGGUAGCUCAGCAGGAUAGAGCAGCCGCCUCCUAAGCGGCAGGUCGGACGUUCAAAUCGUCUCCGGGACGCCA
rnacentral:tRNA from 1 species